rnacentral:lncRNA from 1 species
UCCGAAAACUCUGCUAAAAUUUUCAUUCGAGCACUCCAUUCUUGUUGAGGAAGAGAACUGACUUGAGCAUCGAAGGGUCUUGUCGGAGCAACCCCACCUCCGAUUUAGACUUCUUUUGCAGGUCCCGACGGCAACCACGACUCCUCCGACUCCAGCUUCUCCGAUGCGGGCAAAUUUUUGCACCAAUAGGAUUGGCACUAGAGGAAGGGUUGUGUCUUCACAGUACCCUUGUUCUUAAAGGAGCGCUCAACGGGACCGCCUCCGGCCAUCUUUUCCGACGUCCUCUCCUCCUUCCCCCGCU